rnacentral:rRNA from 1 species
UACAGAGGUCUCAAGCGUUGUUCGGAUUCAUUGGGCGUAAAGGGCGCGUAGGCGGCGGGGUAAGUCGGGUGUGAAAUCUCAGAGCUCAACUCUGAAAUGGCACUUGAUACUGCUCUGCUGGAGGACUGGAGAGGAGAUUGGAAUUCACGGUGUAGCAGUGAAAUGCGUAGAUAUUGGGAGGAACACCAGUGGCGAAGGCGGCUACCUGGACCGGUUCUGACGCUGAUGCGCGAAAGCGUGGGUAGCAAACAGG